UUACUUUGGCAGCAUAUGUGCUAAACAAUUGGAAUGAUACAGAGAUUAGCAUGGGCCCUGUGCAAGGAUGACGUACAAAUUUGUGAAGCAUUCUAUAUUUAA